GAGAGAGAGAGAGAGAGAGAGGGAGGGAGAGAAAGAAAGAAAGAAAGAAAGAAAGAAAGUCUGUCUCCCUUCUUUUUCCUUCCCUUCCCUUCUCUUCCCUCCCCUCUUCUCUUAACAUAG